CUUUCCAUAGCUACAGUCCAGAAAAUUGUUAGGACAACAUGCCAAGCUAUAUGGCAAUUGUUGGUAAGCCUACAUAUGCCACCGCCACUCUCUCUGGUUUUGAGAGAAUAGCAAAGUAGUUUGAGAUAAAAUGGAAUCUACCAAACUGUAUAGGUAAUGAUGGCAAACACUGCAGAAUUAGGAAACCACCUCAUUCUGGCAGUGGAUUUUACAAUUAUAAACUUUUUCCCUGUGGUUUUAAAGGAAUUGUGGAUGCUAAUGGGAAAUUCAUAACUGUCGAUGUUGGAAGUUAUGGGAGUGAAUCUGAUGAAGGUGUUUUUGCCAAUUCAAAAAUAUACAAAAUGAUAGAAAAGGG